CCCAUUUGAAUAAAUAAAAUUAUUCCUUAUGUGCUGGUUUGCUUGGAAUUGCCAGUCUGUGGGGCCUUGAAAGGUAUAUAUUUAAGGUAUUCGAACUUUGCAGCAUGCAUAUCAAGAUGGCCGUGUAGAGGAAGUUGCAUCGCCUCAUCUCGGGGCUGAAGAUGGAAAUACUGUGAUCGCUAAAAAUAUCAGGCUUUCAGAUUUCCUUGGUAGCUUGCAAAUAAGUUGAAUCACGCUGCUUAAUAAUUCCUGUGUAAGUGUUAUCAGAUAAUGCAAACAUAUUUAUAUUUUCAACUUGUGAAAGGUCUUCAAUUUCCUGUGUCAAGCUCUUGUUUUUUGUGAGGUAAAAGGCCAUUGUUUAUAAGUAUGGUAUUCCAUUCUGACAGUUCAUUUUUCUGAGGACCAUUAUCUUGCAGGGAUUUUUCUGUGGCCUCAAUAUACCUGCAAUGUUUCCAUUUCCUCUUUACAUCCUUCUGUUUGGAGAUCAGAAUUUUCAAGAAUUCAAUUUAAUCGAUUUCUUUUUUAUCAAUUCUUAUGUUUGGAAACUUAAUCAGUUGAAGAAUUCAAUUCUUUUUAUGUUAAAAAAAAUUAUUUUAAAAGAAAUAGAAAUCAUGCCAAAAAAAUAUGAUUGUGUGAAAAUUGAAUUGAAUUUUUUUUUGGCAAAUUAUUUUUUCCAAAUUUAGCCAACAGCGUUUAACGUGGGAUCUAUUUGGGCUUUAUAACCCUGCACUGCUUUAUGUUUGCACAGUUGUUUGCAUGAAAAUUCAUUUUAACGAAAGCUUAUAAGCGAUCAAAAUAAAACAGUGGUUGGAUGAUGGGUCGCGGGUGUACUACAAGUUACUUGCAGUUCUUUUUAAAGAAGUGCUAAGCAUGUAUAGUGUCUGUAUAGGUGUUACACGACAUGUUUUCUUGUCAAAUAACAUAUAUAUGUGUCACUGCAGUCACAGUGUGAAUGCUAGCAUCCUCUCUUUCUCUCUCUUCAUUAGUUGGCCGUUCUGGCAUAAUUUUGGGGUCACUCGACAUAUACCUGCUUAUCUAAUGUGAUGUGGCAUUACUUGAGGGUAUUUUCCCAUAGAAUAUGCCCUCUCUAAUUUUAUAGUUGCUGUUGUUUCCAAAAAUGCAGGAUUACUUACUCGGUUGGGACUUAAUUAUGGGAAGCUAGAAGGUGUGUAACAAACUGCAUAUCACGUUAAGAUGAAAUAACAGUGAAGAAAAUGUCAACCCCACGCAAAAUUACAUUUAAUGAUGAGUUAUGAACUUGCCGAUGAAAAUCAAUUUGAAUAAUGGAUUUUUGCCAAUACAGCUUACUUCCCUCACAGCAGAAAGGGAAGUGAACUAUCUUUUGCUAUAGGAUUUGUUCCCCUUAUCAUCCUCAAUGUUUGGAGGUAUGGAUAUCAUAAUUUCCAAGAACUCGAUUAUCAGGGUAGGUGUGUCGAACCCAUUUUAGAUCUUCCUUGGUAAAGAUUGCAUUGUGUGGUUGACUGUAUAAUAAUUUUGACAUUGUGAAAUAUGUGAAUGAGAUUUUAGUGGAGUUAUGCUAUAGACUUGUGCUUAAAAUUUCUUAAAA